GCACAUAGCAGAGGGUUGAAACUCAAUGAUCACUGUGGUCCUUUUCAAUCCAGGCCAUUCUAUGAUCCCAAUUAGAUGUGAAAUUGAAAUGUGCCUCUGUAUCAGCUCAUCUAGCAGAGAGAUGAUCCUUCUUCAGUUGCAAUGGCCUCCAUGUUUUGAAGGACAUGUGCAGUCCUAGCAGCUUUCCCAGACUCAGGAUUCAGAAUGGGAUCAGAACAGCCCUCAGCAAUGCUCGUAUUCCUCCCCAGGUGGGUUCUGCUCAGAGGUCCACAGCCUCCCAUUUAUUUUGAUUUUUCCCACAAUCCUUCAACCCAAAGGUUGUGCUAGGACAAUAAUUGUUCAAACAAGAAGCACAUUAUAUCUCCUAUUCGUGCAUUAAUUAAAGCCAUCCAAGAUCUCACCAACUUUGUCGUUGAUUCAGAGUGAAUGGGACCUGCAGAUAAUUAAUGACUCUCAAUGACAGUUCUUGAAAAAUUGGUUUCUGGCAGCAAUCAGCAUAUGUUGGAUAGGAUUCUAUUUUAUAAGCCUGUUCUCUUCUUAAAGACACAAGAAGCAGGGAAAGCAGGCUGUUCUUUUCAAUAUUAAUUAGACCAUCAUUUAUUUGGAAAAGAGAGGUUUUUGUUUUAGAUACUUACGUGUUAGCUGCUGAGAAUUCUACCCUAAGUCACUUAAUAGCCCAUUAAGAAAUUGUUGUGAUGACUAAUUAUUUAUUACGAAUUCAGAAACUGUUUACUAGAUAACUCUGAUUUUAUUAAUUAAUAAGAUCACCGCUUACAUCCCAAACCCACAAUGACAAUUCUGGCAUUGUCUGGAAAUACAACAUAUGUGAAAUAUGAUACAUAUUGCAUUUUCCUAUUAGCGUGUUUUAAAUUCUGUCUGUGGAAUAUGACUGCUCUGUGCUUCACUGUGGACAUAUCAUUAUGUCAGAUUACAGCUAACUACUUAAAACAAAUACUAAUCAAGGGCUUGAUUUUACCUUUAGGAGCAAUGGAGCUGUAGACAUCCGUGCUUUUGCAUAUAUCUGUGCUAGCAGCCAAAAUAAAUGGUGAGAAGCCAUGAUACAGCGUGGCUAGCAUGAGUUAGCCAACUGGUAAGAUGGAGGCAGCCUAGGUCUCAACUCAGGUGAGCUAUUAGUGUUCAAAUCCACCAGUGGAGCUGAACUAAAGUUGAACCAAGGCUGAUUAAAAGUGUACUUCCAUUGCAUACCUGUAGAGAUCCUCCUGGACAAAAAGUCCCAUCCUUCUGCCCUUUGUCAAAGACAAUACGUAUUGCUUGUCUACUUCCACUAAAUACGAGCUUUAGAUUGGCUGUUAACUAUGCUCAGUUUCCUAGGAGUGUAUUCACAAGUUCAAAUCCAAACCCUUCUCCCUCAACACAACCAUUGUAAGGCUCUUUCCAACUUGCAUGCCCAGGCUGGAUAGGGCAGUGCCCUGCCCAGGUGCCACAGCUGCCCAGGUCCUCCACCAAGGAACGCUCCUGCAGCACCGCAACACCCGAGGUCUGUGCCCAAAGGAGCCCUCAGUCUAUAUAGCAGUCAUCAGUUUCAGUGGGCUGACCUUGAGGAGAGCACCUUGGACUCUCUCCAUGUGGAAACAGCACCGUGUGUAAUGAAAAUCCAUACUGAGAGGGUAUGCAAAGAUCAGACUCGAUUAAUUCUUUCCAGAGGUGCCCCCACAGUGUCAACAUUGAUCUGCUUCCUAGUUGCACAGUCUUCUCUCAGCUGACAACCAUAUGCCAGUCAGAGCUGUGCUGUGUUGUAAAUUGUAACAGAUAUGGAGAUGGGAUCAUUAAAAUACCUGGAGAAUACGCAGCAAGUCAUUGUUUUGCUGCUUUUGCUGAGAAAAUCUCAGUCACGCUGAAAAAGUAAAUGUUAUAGGCCAAUCUGAUGGCAAAGAAGUUAAUCCUACAAUGAAAUUGGAUGGAAUGCCUGGGGAUGGGGAUCAGUACGUGGGUCCGUGUGCUGCCUGUGCUAAAAAGUUGCUGCUUUAUGAAGAAAGCUUGUAUGACCAUCACUGAAAUACACAGGGAUUUUAUUUCCAGCCAUACCUAUGGGAAACUAUAGCAGCCUGCUCUGUAAGUGGUCACCCUCAGGGUGCCAAUGUCUCCCUUGGAUGGUAUUACAUUAGACGUGGGUCAGGGCUCAAUCACAUCAUUUUACCAGAAGAAGGCAAACUCAGUACCAUCUGUCUUUUUCCAUAUGCAACAGGACCUCGUGGAAUCACUGUGGAUAUCCAUGGGCCUGAAACCAUGCUUUUGGCUUGCAAAAUGUAACUGAGGCAUGCACCAGCCACUCAAAUCCACUUCUCCUAUACUUGGCCUGAAUCUGAGGACGUGGGUUAACUCUGUCACCACUCAGCUGUUACAUGCUUGACUGAGUCCAGGGAUAACCACUCCUAAUGGCCAAUGCUAAUAAACAGGAACCUUUUUUUCACUGUAAAUACAGACCUUGGAGGCCUCUGCUCCAGGAAAGCCUACUUGGCAUCUCCAAGCAAUGAUGACCUAUUUUAAGAAUGACCAUUAUUAUUAAUAAAAUCCACCAGUCAGGACUCUGUCAUUGUGCUGCACUUUUUAAGGACAACUUCACUGCUACCCAGAGAUCCACUUCGUUUGUUCAUCUCUCAUCCUUUUCGGACUAAACUUAAGGCAAAUCGAAACAACAUAU
ensembl:lncRNA